rnacentral:rRNA from 1 species
GAUGAACGCUGGCGGCGUGCCUAAUACAUGCAAGUCGAGCGAACGGACGAUAAGCUUGCUUCUCUGAUGUUAGCGGCGGACGGGUGAGUAACACGUGUAUAACCUACCUAUAAGACUGGGAUAACUUCGGGAAACCGGCGCUAAUACCGGAUAAUAUUUUGAACCGCAUGGUUCAAUAGUGAAAGACGGUCUUGCUGUCACGUAUAGAUGGAUCCGCGCUUCAGUAGCUAGUUGGUAAGGUAACGGCUUACCACGGCAACGAUGCAUAGCCGACCUGUGAGGGUGAUAGGCCGCACGGGAAGUGAGACACGGUCCAGAGUACUACGGGAGGGAGCAGUAGGGAAUCUUACGCAAUGGGCGGAAGCCUGACGGAGCAACGCGGCGUGAGUGAUGAAGGUCUUCGGAGCGUAAAACUCUGUUAUUGGGGAAAAACAGAUGUGGAAUUAAAUGUGCAGAGCGUGACGGUACCUAAUCAGAAAGCAACGGCUAACUACGUG